UUUUUUAUAGGGACAUGGGGAUCCAAUUAUUUAAAUCACACAUAAUGUGUGAUCAGAACAUUCAGAGCAAGACUAUACACGGGACUCUUCUGUUGAUUGAAAAAGAAAGAAAUGGCGAGGCGGUUGAUCGAUGUUUGAUUCAAAGACUUUUAAAUAUGCUUUCUGAUUUGGAACGACCUGAUCUGAAGAAGCAAAAACAUCCUUAACUGACAGAGACUACAUUGAAAAAUACAAGGAGAACCCAAACCAGCUGAAGUAUAUUGCAUAAAAUACUGGCCUUAACCUGAACAGAAGGUCCUCAUGGUUCUGUCCUUGGAAUAAGCAUUGGUGUCUGAAUAAAUGCAAUAUAUUAAAAAUAUAAAUGCAGAAUUAAAAUUUGCAUCAACAUUAUCAGUUAAA